CUACGGGUUGCUCCAGCUAAGAAUCUUCCGCAAUGGACGAAAGUCUGACGGAGCGACGCCGCGUGAACGAUGAAGGCCGUGAGGUUGUAAAGUUCUUUUCCGAGGGGAGAAUAAGGAUGGCAGGGAAUGGCCGUCUGAUGACGUGAACUCGGGAAUAAGCCCCGGCUAACUACGUGCCAGCAGCCGCGGUAACACGUAGGGGGCGAGCGUUGUUCGGAAUCAUUGGGCGUAAAGGGUGCGCAGGCGGUGACGCAAGUCUGGUGUGAAAGAUCUCGGCUCAACCGAGGGAACGCGCUGGAAACUGUGUCACUAGAGUACAGGAGGGGGAGUUGGAAUUCCAGGUGUAGGGGUGAAAUCUGUAGAUAUCUGGAAGAACACCGGUGGCGAAGGCGAACUUCUGGCCAUGUACUGACGCUGAGGCACGAAGGCGUGGGGAGCGAACAGGAUUAGAUACCCUCGUAGUC
rnacentral:rRNA from 1 species